rnacentral:rRNA from 1 species
GACGAACGCUGGCGGCGUGCUUAACACAUGCAAGUCGAACGGAAAGGCCCUGCUUUUGUGGGGUGCUCGAGUGGCGAACGGGUGAGUAACACGUGAGUAACCUGCCCUUGACUUUGGGAUAACUUCAGGAAACUGGGGCUAAUACCGGAUAGGAGCUCCUGCUGCAUGGUGGGGGUUGGAAAGUUUCGGCGGUUGGGGAUGGACUCGCGGCUUAUCAGCUUGUUGGUGGGGUAGUGGCUUACCAAGGCUUUGACGGGUAGCCGGCCUGAGAGGGUGACCGGCCACAGUGGGACUGAGAUACGGCCCAGACUCCUACGGGAGGCAGCAGUGGGGAAUAGUGCACGAUGGGCGGUAGCCUGAUGCAGCAACGCCGCGUGCGGGAUGACGGCCUUCGGGUUGUAAACCGCUUUCGCCUGUGACGAAGCGUGAGUGACGGUAAUGGGUAAAGAAGCACCGGCUAACUACGUG